rnacentral:rRNA from 1 species
UACGUAGGGGGCUAGCGUUGUCCGGAAUCAUUGGGCGUAAAGCGCGUGUAGGCGGUCCGGUAAGUCCGCUGUGAAAGUCGGGGGCUCAACCCGUCGGAUGCCGGUGGAUACUGUCGAGCUUGAGUACGGAAGAGGCGAGUGGAAUUCCUGGUGUAGCGGUGAAAUGCGCAGAUAUCAGGAGGAACACCAAUGCGAAGGCAGCUCGCUGGGACGUUACUGACGCUGAGACGCGAAAGCGUGGGGAGCAAACAGG